GCCCUCAUAGCUCAAUGGAUAGAGCAGCGCCCUUCUAAGGCGAAGAUGUAGGUUCGAUUCCUGCUGGGGGUACCA
rnacentral:tRNA from 1 species